rnacentral:lncRNA from 1 species
CUUUCUCAGAACAUGAAGGACCCACAGCAUGUGUCAGAAAAUACAAGUUGAUGUCUAUACAGACGUGGACAGACUGAGUUCUUCAGGCAUGUCAGGCUGUUUCACAUACACAAGAUUAAGUAGCAAAAGUGACAUCCAAGACCAAUCGGGCCACCCAGGAGAACUGCAACCAGCGGAAAGGCUGUCAGAGCCCCCCUUUACACCAUUAAUCUUCAAGCUUCUCCUGUGCUGCCAACUCGCAUCUCCUUCAAACGGGACAGGAGAGUGAGAGAGGGAGGGAAAUGGAGAAAAACAGGACCACCUCACUCACACCAUCUCUGUGGCGGUAGAUGAAUGGGCCUCAUUAAAGCAAAAUGGAGAUUCCAGCACUGAAGUGUGGGGAUGGCCCUUGGAACUUUCAAUUCUUUCACUUAUCAAUAGGUACUUUGAUCUCAUGCUUAGAGAAGAUUCCCGGUCCCUUUACUGGUGACGCAUAUAUAACCUAAUGACAAUGAAUGGUGAAAUGCAGAAGUAAAAGAACGAUCCAGGAACUGAUAAAUAGCGGAAAAUGAGUGUGUUAUGUUGUGGCAUGCCUGAAGUCCCAAGAGAGGGUUGUCUUGCUUCAGUCCAGUCCUGUGAACUGAGGAGGAAAUCGACCCAUCUAGAGAGAGCCUUUGAAGUUCAUAGACCUGAACUCAAAUUAAGGGACAUGCCAUGUAUGCUUGCUUUUUUCUUCUUCUCCUUUUAUAGAGCAUUUUCCCCCUAUU